rnacentral:rRNA from 1 species
UACGUAGGCAGCGAGCGUUGUUCGGAGUUACUGGGCGUAAAGGGUGUGUAGGCGGUUUUCUAAGUUUGGUGUGAAAUCUCCCGGCUCAACCGGGAGGGUGCGCCGAAAACUGGGAGACUAGAGUGCGGGAUGGGAGAGUAGAAUUCCUGGUGUAGCGGUGAAAUGCGUAGAUAUCAGGAGGAAUACCGGUGGUGUAGACGGCUCUCGGGACCGCCACUGACGCUGAGACACGAAAGCGUGGGUAGCAAACAGG